rnacentral:lncRNA from 1 species
AUUUUAGACCUCUAUGUGAAUUCAUAACAUACACAUUAACUAAUGAAAUGUAUUGUAUGCACCAACUUUUGUAACACUGUGUAAACUUUGGUCUAAGCUUUUCAAUUCCCUGGUGAGUUCCCCACAAUUCAUAUUUCAGUGAAUACCCCUGACGGUGUCUUCAUGACUUUUAUUGGCCACAUGUUUAAAGUCUGAAUGAAUGUAACAACAACUUUCCAAGUUCGCCAAUCAUCAUCUUGAAGUGGUACAUCAAUGAAAACACUGGGUAAGUCAGCCCGGCUUAGUAACUCAUAAUUCUGCCGAUAUUAGAAGAUACAGUAUGUGCGUUGAUACUACUCAUGUCUUUCUCAUUAUUUUAAUAAAAAAAUACAAAUUGACAAUGCAAGGUACACACAAGGUGUAGGGAAUUAAAAAACAAAUUGUAAAAUUCAAGCAAAUCCCAAUUAGUUCUUUAAUAACACAGUGUUCCCCUAAGAGGCAUCAUGAGAUGGGGUUCAAAUUUUAGAUCAAAGUUGCAGAACUAUAAAAAUGCUUAGUUGAAGGGUUUUUUUUCUUUUUUGAGUUCUUCUCUUUAUGAAUCAAAGCUGACUCCGAUUUUCGAAUUACACAGACAUUAAUUGCAGUAAGUCAUGUUGAUCUGCAACCAAACUUACCAUACAAAAACAAUAAAUGAAAAUAAAAGUGUAAGUAAUACCACAAAGCAUUAGCAUCUCACAUCCACCUUUUCUAUUGAGACAAAGAAUUGCAUUGAAAAGGUGCAACCCAGUUCAAAGCUGAUAACUAGCUUUAAUAGUGCCAAGCUGCCUUCGUUCUGUCCCAACUAACAGGUUGGGUAUUUAAAAAAAACUACUGCCGGUGCAACUGGUGCUGCUGGGACUUGCACCAGACUGGGCCUCGGUUAGAUCUGCAGCUUGGUUGCGGUGGUGGGAGGAAGUGAGUUCAGGUCACUUCACCAAAUGCACCAAAUGUCAACAAUACACACACAUACAAAACUGCAUUCAAAUGCCAACAUUUUACUCAAAUACGCCCCUCUUAUAGACACACAUAGUCCAUAUAAAAACAUGCUUACAUUUAUACAAAUGGAAACUGCUCACAAAUAUAGCCCUGAUAGGUUGGGCAAAUGGUAGACCCCCAGCUGGCAUAGCAUUAUGGGAGGUGUAAGAUAGUAGAGGAUCUAACCUUUGGCCACCCUUGAGCUGGGGGGGGGAGGGGAAGACAGUCCGUCCCUUGCACUAGUGCCUUCUCUGCCUUAGUUCCACCAAACCUAAUUUGUAUCAGACCAGACUGAUGUCAGAUGUUCCUGCUCCAUGUUAUUGCCUUGUGUAAACUCCACAAUAUUUAGCGAAUAGCCCUGUUUAACUUUUUACAGACUCUUUCAAUGUAUGACCAAGGCUCCAAAGAAACCUAGGGGGGUGGUUUCACUCACCUGAACAUGCUUGAAUGGGGUGCUGCUGGGGGCCAUAUUAUACAAUAAACAAUACACAAGAUCCAGCGCACUCUCCUAUCUACUAAACAGCAACUUCAAUGUUGACAGAUUUUAUUAGUGUUUUUAAAAAGUUUUUUCUAAAGGUUUUUUUUAAAAACACCUAAUCUAGGCAAAAAAUAAUGGGGAUUUAGUUACAUUAUAUGAUCAUACAUUGCAUAAGCCUGCCACAACGUUACUGUACCCCGUCUUUGGCAGGUCCUACUCUCACAGUCCAAAGAAGCCUUCCCUUUAACUUGCAAAAUACUCUAGAACAGAGUAAUCCCUCUAGAUCUGUUCAGAUCUAAGUUACUGCUCCACCUUAACCUGCAAUGCUAUUUUUAUCACUUAUUGUACAGCGUGCUGCACAAGUAGUGUUUUUUUUUGCAAGCAAAUGCUUGAAUCUGUUAUUGUCUUUGCUAGAUUUCAGGUUGUCAGUCAAAAUUAUAGCAUGGAACUUUCCAUCAUUCUAUUUUUACUGAAAAAUCCAUUAUUUAAAACUUUCCUCAAUUUUAUUCCGUAGGGGCUAUAAUUCACAUAACAGAAAACUGAUGCAACGUCUUUAUCAUACAAUAAAUGAGAUCUUCAGUUAUACAUUAUAUUGUAACACUACUAGAACGUAGACAAUGGUAGCACAGCAACGUUAUGGCUUGCAGAGUUUGCAAACGAAUCCUUAUAUAAAGAGACCAAUGCACACACUAUUUAUCAGAAACUACACCUAUUAAUUGUGUUGUUAAUAAUUACUUUCAAAACACGAUAUUAUGAAUUAAAAUUACAACUUAAUUUUUAUUUGAACAAUUUAAGUAUUUAACUUUAACUGUAAAGUAUGGAGUGGCCAGUUGAGAUCUGCACCCCUUUAAAAGAGCUACUGAAAGUGUAUUAAUGGCUUUUAUUAGCUACAAACAUGCAUAACUAACCAAUCGCACAAACAUAUCAACACACAUCUAAAAAAAAUAAACAAAUAACUAAUUAGCACACACACACACACACACACACACACACUCAUAGAUGCAAAGACACACACUCACAAUCAUACAUGCAAAAAACACACACACUCAUAAUCAUACCUGCAAAGACACAUACACAUUCAUAGAUACAAAGACACACACUCACAAUCAUACAUGCAAAGACACACACACACACACACUCACACAUGCUAAAUCUCAUGCAGUGACGAGCUGUAGAACUUGUGUUCCUUAUUGUUCCCCUUUAACUCUCAGUGUGCUGAUUAGUACAUUAAAUGCUAGCUUCCUAUCAGCUAUGCGCUGGGCAAUCAGCGGCUAACUGUCGGGUAAGGCACCCAGGGACCGGUGUCCGUGCUCUCUGGGUACAAAUAUCACAACAAAAAUGAAUUAUUUUUAUGUCUGAGAUGCAUUGAGGUUGUGUUAUAUUGCUAAUAAAAAGAUCCUAUUUUAAUAUCUGUGUUAAGCCAUUAAAGUGCAAGACUUUACUGUGCAUCGACCAUUAAAUAUCCC